rnacentral:tRNA from 1 species
GCCCCCUUAGCUCAAUUGGAAGAGCGGCUCCCUUCUAAGGAGUAGGUUGGAGGUUCGAAUCCUCCAGGGGGCG